rnacentral:rRNA from 1 species
GAUGAACGCUGGCGGCGUGCUUAACACAUGCAAGCCGAACGGUGAAGGCGGAGCUUGCUCUGCUGGAUCAGUGGCGAACGGGUGAGUAACACGUGAGCAAUCUGCCCCUGACUCUGGGAUAAGCGCUGGAAACGGCGUCUAAUACUGGAUACGAGCUGCUAAGGCAUCUUCAGCAGCUGGAAAGAAUUUCGGUCAGGGAUGAGCUCGCGGCCUAUCAGCUUGUUGGUGAGGUAAUGGCUCACCAAGGCGUCGACGGGUAGCCGGCCUGAGAGGGUGACCGGCCACACUGGGACUGAGACACGGCCCAGACUCCUACGGGAGGCAGCAGUGGGGAAUAUUGCACAAUGGGCGAAAGCCUGAUGCAGCAACGCCGCGUGAGGGACGACGGCCUUCGGGUUGUAAACCUCUUUUAGCAGGGAAGAAGCGAAAGUGACGGUACCUGCAGAAAAAGCGCCGGCUAACUACGUG